GGACAGUGAAGCUUCAGGGAGACUUUCUGCUGUGCAGAGUAAAGAGAAGGUGGAAUUCUCCAUGACGUGGAUCACAUGUUGCGUGUUCAAAGUACAAUCUGGUUACGGAAAGAAAAAUGUCUAAGUAAUGACGGGAGCCGAUCCGGCACAUACGCCAGGACUUCUGCAGGUUAUCGUUGCCUUUUCCCCAGCAAUCAAUUUCCUUACCGAGAUCUCAGAGACAAUAAAAAAUUAACAAGUGACAAAAAAUAAACAACAUGUCUAAUCACGGAGGGGGGGGGGGGUCCGGCCGCUGGAAACCCCUGUGAUCCCCGGGCCGGCGCUGCGGCCCUGAAAGCCUCAAUUCAUGUCUAUGGGACGGGGCGUGGAUGGUUCAACCUCUUCCAAAACCUAGCUAUCAACGUUUUAGCAGCCAGGAGUACACACAUGAGUAGCUUAACACCCUUCUUCCCCAGGAAACAGGGGGAAAGAUGUAGUAGAGAUAAAUCAGGGGGUCCAAGGGGACCACAACCCCAAAUAUAUUCACCACCAAACUGUGAACCUUGGCCCAGAAGCCU